CUUUGACCACAAUGAUAUAGCUUUGAAGAACUUUGCCAAUAUUUUCUUCACCAAUCUCAUAAGGAGAGGGAACAUGCUGAGAAACUGAUGAAGCUGCAGAACCAAUGAGAGAUAGGAAGAGGGUCG